rnacentral:rRNA from 1 species
GAGUGGCGAACGGGUGAGGAAUACAUCGGAACGUGUCUAUAAGUGGGGGAUAACGCAUCGAAAGGUGUGCUAAUACCGCAUACGAUCUACGGAUGAAAGCGGGGGAUCGCAAGACCUCGCGCGAUUGGAGCGGCCGAUAUCAGAUUAGGUUGUUGGUGAGGUAAAAGCUCACCAAGCCGACGAUCUGUAGCUGGUCUGAGAGGACGACCAGCCACACUGGAACUGAGACACGGUCCAGACUCC